GAUGAACGCUGGCGGCGUGCCUAAUACAUGCAAGUCGAGCGAAUGGAUUAAGAGCUUGCUCUUAUGAAGUUAGCGGCGGACGGGUGAGUAACACGUGGGUAACCUGCCCAUAAGACUGGGACAACUCCGGGAAACCGGGGCUAAUACCGGAUAACAUUUUGAACCGCAUGGUUCGAAAUCGAAAGGCGGCUUCGGCUGUCACUUAUGGAUGGACCCGCGUCGCAUUAGCUAGUUGGUGAGGUAACGGCUCACCAAGGCAACGAUGCGUAGCCGACCUGAGAGGGUGAUCGGCCAAACUGGGACUGAGACACGGCCCAGACUCCUACGGGAGGCAGCAGUAGGGAAUCUUCCGCAAUGGACGAAAGUCUGACGGAGCAACGCCGCGUGAGUGAUGGAGGCUUUCGGGUCGUAAAACUCUGUUGUUAGGGAAGAACAAGUGCUAGUUGAAUAAGCUGGCACCUUGACGGUACCUAACCAGAAAGCCACGGCUAACUACGUGCCAGCCGCCGCUGUAA
rnacentral:rRNA from 1 species